AGCGAACGCUGGCGGCAGGCCUAACACAUGCAAGUCGAACGAAGUCUUCGGACUUAGUGGCGGACGGGUGAGUAACACGUGGGAACGUGCCUUUAGGUUCGGAAUAACUCAGGGAAACUUGUGCUAAUACCGAAUGUGCCCUUCGGGGGAAAGAUUUAUCGCCUUUAGAGCGGCCCGCGUCUGAUUAGCUAGUUGGUGAGGUAAAGGCUCACCAAGGCUACGAUCAGUAGCUGGUCUGAGAGGAUGACCAGCCACAUUGGGACUGAGACACGGCCCAAACUCCUACGGGAGGCAGCAGUGGGGAAUCUUGCGCAAUGGGCGAAAGCUUGACGCAGCCAUGCCGCGUGGAUGAUGAAGGUCUUAGGAUUGUAAGAUCCUUUCACCGGUGAAGAUAAUGACUGUAGCCGGAGAAGAAGCCCCGGCUAACUUCGUGCCAGCCGCCGCAGUAAAAC
rnacentral:rRNA from 1 species